CAGGGAAAAGGUCCCUGCUUGCUUUGUAAGCUUCCAGAAUGCUUUUACUGGGAAACCUGGAUAAUGAGCAAAAAUCAACCAAAACCAAAGAAGCCCUGGAGACAUAUAAGUUGCCGUAAAAGAGCUGAAUGAAGGGGUGGAAUGAGAAGGGCAAAAAGUUAUAUCGACAAAGGUGUCGGGGAACCAAGCUUUUGGAUAUUUUGGCAUAAACCAUACAGCAAAGAGGUAGUUACCCCUAGCAGACUUCUUCUGGAGAGCAUCAAACUUUAUUCCUUGGUAAAGUUCCAGAGAGAUCAAUCCAUAUGCCACCAUCAUCACGAUCCCGGGAAUAAGAAAAAGAAUCAGUAACAGGAACGUGUGCCUAAUAAAAUAAGAAGAAAUUCAAUAACCAUCAACUCUAGUAUUUCAAACUCAGACAGGAUGGAAAAGAUAGGAUUCAUCUCCAUUUCAACUGGUCUGGAUAAAGUCUAUUAUGAAGGACUAGUUAAGUUGGAAAAGGCUGGUGUGUUCUGUGCCUGAAACAAGCCUUCAUGUGAAACCAAUGAGAACUUAAGAACA